rnacentral:rRNA from 1 species
UACGGGGGGGAGCAAGCGUUGUUCGGAUUUACUGGGCGUAAAGGGCGCGUAGGCGGCGCGGUAAGUCACUUGUGAAAUCUCUGAGCUUAGCUCAGAACGGCCAAGUGAUACUGCAGUGCUAGAGUGUGGAAGGGGCAAUCGGAAUUCUUGGUGUAGCGGUGAAAUGCGUAGAUAUCAAGAGGAACACCUGAGGUGAAGACGGGUUGCUGGGCCAACACUGACGCUGAUGCGCGAAAGCCAGGGGAGCAAACGGG